rnacentral:rRNA from 1 species
AGUGAACGCUGGCGGUAGGCCUAACACAUGCAAGUCGAACGGCAGCACAGUAAGAGCUUGCUCUUACGGGUGGCGAGUGGCGGACGGGUGAGGAAUACAUCGGAAUCUACUUUUUCGUGGGGGAUAACGUAGGGAAACUUACGCUAAUACCGCAUACGACCUACGGGUGAAAGCAGUGGAUCUUCGCACCUUGCGCGAUUGAAUGCGCCGAUGUCGGAUUAGCUAGUUGGCGGGGUAAAGGCCCACCAAGGCGACGAUCCGUAGCUGGUCUGAGAGGAUGAUCAGCCACACUGGAACUGAGACACGGUCCAGACUCCUACGGGAGGCAGCAGUGGGGAAUAUUGGACAAUGGGCGCAAGCCUGAUCCAGCCAUACCGCGUGGGUGAAGAAGGCCUUCGGGUUGUAAAGCCCUUUUGUUGGGAAAGAAAAGCAGCAGGUUAAUACCCCGCUGUUCUGACGGUACCCAAAGAAUAAGCACCGGCUAACUUCGUG